GCACAGGAGGGCAGGAGGGAGCUGGACCGAAGAAGGGCUGGGGCGAAGCUAAACAUCCUCCUCUCCUCCACUCCUUUCUAUUGCUCUGGUGAGGGCUGAAUAUUUGCAGGGGCUGGUUGGAAAGACCUAAUUUUAGUAUGAACUUUGAGUUGUGGGGGUGAGUUGAAUGGCGAAGGCAUUCUGCACAUGAUCCGAGGCAAUCCUGCCACAGCUCACGGGUGGCGU